GCUCAGAGACCAGCAACACCUCCAUCUUGCUGACAGAACAGGUAGACAGGCUCAGAGACCAGCAAGAAGUACAGCAACACCUCCAUCUUACUGACAGAACAGGUAGACAGGCUCAGAGACCAGCAACACCUCCAUCUUACUGACAGAACAGGUAGACAGGCUCAGAGACCAGCAAGAAGUACAGCAACACCUCCAUCUUACUGACAGAACAGGUAGACAGGCUCAGAGACCAGCAAGAAGUACAGCAACACCUCCAUCUUACUGACAGAACAGGUAGACAGGCUCAGAGACCAGCAAGAAGUACAGCAACACCUCCAUCUUACUGACAGAACAGGUAGACAGGCUCAG
rnacentral:lncRNA from 1 species